rnacentral:rRNA from 1 species
AUAUCAAUAAGCGGAGGAAAGGAAACCAACGGGGAUUGCCCCAGUAACGGCGAGUGAAGCGGCAACAGCUCAAAUUUGAAAUCUGGCCCCUCUGGGGUCCGAGUUGUAAUUUGCAGAGGGUGCUUCGGCGUCGGCCCCGGGUCAAGUCCCCUGGAACGAGGCGCCCUAGAGGGUGAGAGCCCCGUACCUACCCGGGUGUCCUCCGCCGUGUGAAGCCCCUUCGACGAGUCGAGUUGUUUGGGAAUGCAGCUCUAAGCGGGAGGUAUAUUUCUUCCAAGGCUAAAUACCGGCCAGAGACCGAUAGCGCACAAGUAGAGUGAUCGAAAGAUGAAAAGCACUUUGGAAAGAGAGUUAAAAAGCACGUGAAAUUGUUGAAAGGGAAGCUCUUGCCGCCAGACUUGCCGCGGUCGUUCGACCGCCCUCCGGGGCGGUGCACUCCUCCGCCGGCAGGCCAGCGUCGGUUCCGGCGACCGGAUAAAGGCCCCGGGAAUGUGGCACCCUCCGGGGUGUGUUAUAGCCCGGGGUGCAAUGCGGUCAGCCCGGUCCGAGGCACGCGUUCGCGAGGACGCUGGCGUAAUGGCGGCAAGCGACCCGUCUUGAAACACGGACCAAGGAGUCUAACAUCUGUGCGAGUGUUUGGGCGUCAAACCCAUGCGCGCAAUGAAAGUGAACGGAGGUGGGAACCCCCUCCGAGGGGCGCACCAUCGACCGAUCCUGAUGUCUUCGGAUGGAUUUGAGUAAGAGCACAGCUGUCGGGACCCGAAAGAUGGUGAACUAUUCCCGGAUAGGGUGAAGCCAGAGGAAACUCUGGUGGAGGCUCGCAGCGGUUCUGACGUGCAAAUC